ACUACGUGCCAGCAGCCGCGGUAAUACGUAGGUGGCAAGCGUUAUCCGGAUUUAUUGGGCGUAAAGCGAGCGCAGGCGGUUUUCUAAGUCUGAUGUGAAAGCCUUCGGCUUAACCGAAGAAGGGCAUCGGAAACUGGAUGACUUGAGUGCAGAAGAGGGCAGUGGAACUCCAUGUGUAGCGGUGGAAUGCGUAGAUAUAUGGAAGAACACCAGUGGCGAAGGCGGCUGCCUAGUCUGCAACUGACGCUGAGGCUCGAAAGCAUGGGUAGCGAACAGGAUUAGAUACCCUGGUAGUCCAUGCCGUAAACGAUGA
rnacentral:rRNA from 1 species